CUAUGAUGCAGUCGAACGCUUCUUUUUCCACCGGAGCUUGCUCCACCGGAAAAAGAGGAGUGGCGAACGGGUGAGUAACACGUGGGUAACCUGCCCAUCAGAAGGGGAUAACACUUGGAAACAGGUGCUAAUACCGUAUAACAAUCGAAACCGCAUGGUUUUGAUUUGAAAGGCGCUUUCGGGUGUCGCUGAUGGAUGGACCCGCGGUGCAUUAGCUAGUUGGUGAGGUAACGGCUCACCAAGGCGACGAUGCAUAGCCGACCUGAGAGGGUGAUCGGCCACAUUGGGACUGAGACACGGCCCAAACUCCUACGGGAGGCAGCAGUAGGGAAUCUUCGGCAAUGGACGAAAGUCUGACCGAGCAACGCCGCGUGAGUGAAGAAGGUUUUCGGAUCGUAAAACUCUGUUGUUAGAGAAGAACAAGGAUGAGAGUAACUGUUCAUCCCUUGACGGUAUCUAACCAGAAAGCCACGGCUAACUACGUGCCAGCAGCCGCGGUAAUACGUAGGUGGCAAGCGUUGUCCGGAUUUAUUGGGCGUAAAGCGAGCGCAGGCGGUUUCUUAAGUCUGAUGUGAAAGCCCCCGGCUCAACCGGGGAGGGUCAUUGGAAACUGGGAGACUUGAGUGCAGAAGAGGAGAGUGGAAUUCCAUGUGUAGCGGUGAAAUGCGUAGAUAUAUGGAGGAACACCAGUGGCGAAGGCGGCUCUCUGGUCUGUAACUGACGCUGAGGCUCGAAAGCGUGGGGAGCAAACAGGAUUAGAUACCCUGGUAGUCCACGCCGUAAACGAUGAGUGCUAAGUGUUGGA
rnacentral:rRNA from 1 species